rnacentral:rRNA from 1 species
CGGGGAAUAUUGCGCAAUGGGGGAAACCCUGACGCAGCGACGCCGCGUGAGCGAUGAAGGCCUUAGGGUUGUAAAGCUCUGUUUUAAGGGACGAAUGUUACGGGGAGUAAUAUACCCUGUAAAUGACGGUACCUUAAGAGGAAGCCCCGGCUAACUACGUGCCAGCAGCCGCGGUAAGACGUAGGGGGCGAGCGUUGUCCGGAAUUACCGGGCGUAAAGAGCACGUAGGCGGGAACUUAAGUCAGGUGUGAAAGACCGGGGCUCAAACUCGGGGGUGCACUUGAAACCGGGUUUCUUGAGGGCAGGAGAGGAAAGUAGAAUUCCUGGUGUAGCGGUGAAAUGCGUAGAAAUCAGGAGGAAUACCGGUGGCGAAGGCGACUUUCUGGACUGACCCUGACGCUGAGGUGCGAAAGCGUGGGUAGCAAACAG